GAACGCUGGCGGCAGGCCUAACACAUGCAAGUCGAGCGGUAGAGAGGUGCUUGCAUCUCUUGAGAGCGGCGGACGGGUGAGUAAUGCCUAGGAAUCUGCCUAGUGGUGGGGGAUAACGUUCGGAAACGGACGCUAAUACCGCAUACGUCCUACGGGAGAAAGCAGGGGACCUUCGGGCCUUGCGUUAUCAGAUGAGCCUAGGUCGGAUUAGCUAGUAGGUGAGGUAAUGGCUCACCUAGGCGACGAUCCGUAACUGGUCUGAGAGGAUGAUCAGUCACACUGGAACUGAGACACGGUCCAGACUCCUACGGGAGGCAGCAGUGGGGAAUAUUGGACAAUGGGCGAAAGCCUGAUCCAGCCAUGCCGCGUGUGUGAAGAAGGUCUUCGGAUUGUAAAGCACUUUAAGUUGGGAGGAAGGGCAGUAAGUUAAUACCUUGCUGUUUUGACGUUACCAACAGAAUAAGCACCGGCUAACUUCGUG
rnacentral:rRNA from 1 species